rnacentral:rRNA from 1 species
CACCGCGGUUAUACGAGAGGCCCAAGUUGUCAGUUGCCGGCGUAAAGAGUGGUUAAAGAAUAUAAACACUAAAGCCGAACACCCUCAAGGCAGUUAUACGCACCCGAAGGUUAGAAGCCCAAUCACGAAAGUAGCUUUAUUUCUCCUGAAUCCACGAGAGCUAUGGUA